rnacentral:snRNA from 1 species
UUUUGAUAACUUGAUAACUAU